rnacentral:rRNA from 1 species
AGCGAACGCUGGCGGCAGGCUUAACACAUGCAAGUCGAGCGGGCCCUUCGGGGUCAGCGGCGGACGGGUGAGUAACGCGUGGGAACGUGCCUUCUGGUCUGGAAUAACCUUGGGAAACUAGGGCUAAUACCGGAUACGCCCUUUUGGGGAAAGGUUUACUGCCGGAAGAUCGGCCCGCGUCUGAUUAGCUAGUUGGUGGGGUAACGGCCUACCAAGGCGACGAUCAGUAGCUGGUCUGAGAGGAUGAUCAGCCACACUGGGACUGAGACACGGCCCAGACUCCUACGGGAGGCAGCAGUGGGGAAUAUUGGACAAUGGGCGCAAGCCUGAUCCAGCCAUGCCGCGUGAGUGAUGAAGGCCUUAGGGUUGUAAAGCUCUUUUAUCCGGGACGAUAAUGACGGUACCGGAGGAAUAAGCCCCGGCUAACUUCGUGCCAGCAGCCGCGGUAA